CCAGACUCCUACGGGAGGCAGCAGUGAGGAAUAUUGGUCAAUGGGCGAGAGCCUGAACCAGCCAAGUCGCGUGAGGGAAGACGGUCCUAUGGAUUGUAAACCUCUUUUGCCGGGGAGCAAAAAGCGGUACGUGUACCGCAUCGAGAGUACCCGGAGAAAAAGCAUCGGCUAACUCCGUGCCAGCAGCCGCGGUAAUACGGAGGAUCCGAGCGUUAUCCGGAUUUAUUGGGUUUAAAGGGUGCGUAGGCGGUUUGAUAAGUUAGAGGUGAAAUGUCGGGGCUCAACCCCGAAACUGCCUCUAAUACUGUUGGACUAGAGAAUAGUUGCGGUAGGCGGAAUGUAUGGUGUAGCGGUGAAAUGCUUAGAGAUCAUACAGAACACCGAUUGCGAAGGCAGCUUACCAAACUAUAUCUGACGUUGAGGCACGAAAGCGUGGGUAGCAAACAGGAUUAGAUACCCGGGUAAA
rnacentral:rRNA from 1 species